AAAUCGUUGACCUAUUGCAAGAAGGACUCAGCCAGCGAGUUGUCGCUCGUCGGCUCCAUAUAAGCCAGUCCUGUGUUUCGAAAGCU